CGUGAAAAAUAAUCAACUUUCUUGUUUGCAUUAAUUUAGAAUAUAGUGCCAUUUUCUUUCCCAUUUAUUAUUUUUACUCAAAAACACUUAAAUGCAAAAUUCCUAACAACAUAGAAGAGCAGAAGCUAAAAUGUAAAUUUAAUGAAGGCAAAUAAAAUAAUGCUGGCUGUUAAAAAAAAGCUGGGAGAGAAAACGCCAAAUUUUAUAGUGCACUACAUUCUAUAAAAUAGAACCUAACUGAAAUUGACAUCACUUCCUCUGGC
rnacentral:lncRNA from 1 species